CCGCUGGGUCAGAACGUCGGGUCGUCUCGUCUCCAGCGGGGCGCAGGGACCGCUUCGCUUCGGCGGCGGCCCCGAAAACCACCGCUCCAGGGCGAAGGCGGCUGCCCCCGGGGACGGGCCCGGGGCGGAGCUCCUGGAGGCCCCGCCCACCGCGCGCACCCGGCGCAGCCCCGCCCGGGGCCUCCUCGCCGUGACCUUCCCAGCGGGGUGCGGGAGUCCCCCGCGCGCGGUCCCCGGCUCCGUGCCGCUUCCCGUUCCUGCCUCCCGGCAUCUCUGCGAACUGUCAAAAUCACCUCUUUUUAAGUCCGUUUCAUUGCUCAAGACUUUUUUUGGAUGAAGCCUUUCCUUAUUCCUGGGCCCAGAUACAACCUUUCUUUUCAGCACUCCACCUCCGGACCCCCCAAAACCCCAUCCCCACCCUCCGUAAUGUGGGCACACCUCUAGCCCCGCUGAUCGUACCGUAGGGCCUGCUUGCCCCUGGCACCGCGAGGUCCUUCAGGACUCUGUGCAUGGGAGGAGAGAGGACUUGCUUCCCUCACCCUGCGAGCAAUCCCAGCUUCACCCUACGCCGGCGCCUGUGCACUGUCCGGGCUCAGAAGUGGAACCAGGGCCCUGCCUUUACGAUGAAGUUUCCUCUGCCCUGACACGAGUUGUCCAUCUGCAGGACUCGCCUGUGCCCCCUGGAAACCGCCAGGCUCCGGUCCCCACUGCAGCUGACGGCUCAGCGGGCUCGCGGUGCCCCUAAUGUGCGCUGCGCGCCAGGCUGAACGGCGGGACAGCGGCAAGACGUUGUGCAGGGGUGUGCUGCAAGGGGACCCUGAGCGAUACAAGCUGCAAAUUCCCAGGUGCAUUUGGAACCAGAAUGACCCACUCACUGUGGCCACGAGCUCCCGCCACAGCCGGAGUACCUAAGACGUGCCGACGGCCAUGGCCACACCUCAGUAGCAAGAACUAGAAAUUCCAGCACUUUCCCGAGGAAGGAGAAGCACAACUCUGUUUGGGGAUCUGUGAAAGUUUGGGUUUUCUGGGGCCUUUUGUAUUUUGUUUUAGGAUCCUUUUUUAUUAGUAUUAUACAAACCACACAGAAAUGUCUGAAAUUUCCACUUCUAAGCUGGCUGUAUGUCACCUGACAGGCACAGUGCUAGGUGACAAUGGAAGACGCUGACACUUGAGAAGCCAUCCUGCUCAGAAACGGAAGGAAAGGUCACUGUGUUGAAGGUGCCUGGUAAGUGGUUACAUACACUUCUGGCUACUGAGUGUAGAACUUGGUCCCCCAGAGAUAGCACUGGACACUUCUAGAAGCUUCUCCUCACGAUGGCUGCUCCCCCCGCCCCUUCUCGCUUUUCCCUCUCUUUUGUUUUCUUUUUUUGUGGGAGGAAUUAGAUUUCAUUUUCUUGUAAGCAUAACUUCUUUAUUUUUCGACAGUGUUCUGUUAGUUUCAGGUGUACAGUGUCGUGACUCGACACUUCCAUACGUCACCCAGAGCUCAUCACCCUCCUUCAUCCCCAACCCCUGAGUGACCCAAACCUCCACUCACCUCCCCUCUGGUAACCAUCAGACUGUUCUCUGUAAUUAAGAGUCUGUUCCUUGGUUUGUCUCUCUCCCUUUUUCCCUUUGCUUGUUUGUUUUGCUUCUUUUAAACUCCACAUCUGAGUGAGAUCAUAUGGUGUUCCCACACCCCUUCUUCCACGCAGCUCUGGGCUCACAACAGGAGCAUAGCCUUCCACUGCUGCCAGAGCAGGAGAGAUGCUGGACUCCAGGGAAAGGGCUGGCAGCUCUCAGAGGCCAGUGACCAGAGGCAAAGCUGGGAGAAAUGGCUCAUCUCGAAAAUGGAUGUCAGGCUCAGUCAGCUUUGCCUGCCUCUUCCUAAAGUUGAACUCACAUUUGCCCCCUGAUAGAGAAGGGCUUGCCGCAACAGGGUGGGGGGGGGGUGUGUGCCGGGAGGGUAGAGACAGACCUGGGCGUGGUGGGGGCAGGGGGAGCCGUCAGUCACUUCCAGACAGAACUGGGUGGUGCCAGCCAGGGGCCGGACCCCACAAAGUCAGCGAGGGUGGUCCUGGGUCAGGUCACCUCUCUGGAGCCUGAACAGCUCAUUUCGAACCCAGACAGGGCAUAGAAGAGCUCAAGCCAGCAGGCCACAAACCUUAGACUCACCCCAGAUCUGGGAUAGGUUUGCAAUUAAACCCAAAGACUGGAACUUGGAAGAUCAAAACACUUGUCAAGUUUACCCCAAUUCGCUUUAAAGUGAGAACAAUGACAUUUGAGAGCAGAUGGUGGGCUUAGGGUGUUGCUGUGUGGAUCGCGGGAUUCUAAAGAGGGAUGCACCUGAGUUCCAGGUUCCCUCCUCUCCCUGGCCACCCCAAGGCUCCCAAAGCACUGUCUCCUCCUAGGGCUGGGGGCCCAGGUGUGAACCCCAGACAAGCCCAGACAUCUGCCCAGCCCAGCUGGAAGGGCACAUUCACCCUCUGGGUCUGUUGGCUUUCCUCUGGGCUGACCCCAAGCAAGACCAGAGGAGUGUGGCGUGCUGAGUGAGCACCAGGCAGGGGAGGAAGUGAGCUGUCGACUUCUGCUUCCCCUCCCCCACGGGCCUUCCUGGGGGGUGGGCCUUCCUCCUUGUGGGGGCUGGGGAACCUGGCUUUCCCCUAAAACCUCUGCCCUUGAGAAGGAUGCCAGGCGGGGUGUAACCAGUGGCAGCCCCAGGGCACAAGCCACCUGUACCCCCAGCCAGCACGUCCCUUGGCUCCAGGCUCCUUCUCUCCUUCCGAGUGACCACUGGCAAGAAAGUGGCCGGCGCUCCCUCACAGACCCCACUCAGGAAGCCACGGAACUGUGGCAGGGCUUUGCAGCAAGCCUGAGGGCUGCGGGGCCCUGGUGCAAUCGCGGAAGCCCUCUGGCCCCUGGUUCCCCCCGCAAGCCAGGCUUUAGCCCUGAGCUCUGCCCUCUCUCCCAGUUCCAGUAGAGCGACCAGCAGCUCCCCGAUAAAUUCCAGUCGGGCACUGGGCACUGAGUGCCUAAUCCCUCUGAUCCUUGAGCCCACUCGGUGUAAGUGCAGCCGCACUUUACAGAUUUGGAAACCAGAGCCCAGAAGGCAGCUAGUGAACAGCAGAGCCUGUCAGAAGCCAGGUGCCCUUGCCCAUGGCCUUAUGCCUUCUCCGCUCGGGGUCCCUGCCUUUGAGCCAGCCACCCUCCUCUGCUCGGGCCCACACUACCCCACUGGCUUUCCCAGAGCCUCCACGAAGUCCCACCGGCCCUCAGGUUAAAACCCUCCAAAACGGCUCAGCCAGAACAAACUUGCAACCCGAAACAGGACUCUAGAAGGAGAGAGGCAGAAAGGUGUGCGGGCCUCCCGCUACCUCCAGGCUCCCUUCACCCUCUCUCCCAUCUAACCACCGCGUCCUGGGUGCGGGUGCAGGGGUGAGCCCUGUCUGCCUAGCCGCUGGGCGAUCAUUCCCCUUUCGCAGAUGGAAAACUAAGGCACAGAGAGGCCCCAUGGACCACCCAGGGUAUUCGCACUAAUAACUCAAAUCCUAAGGGCUGGGACUUGAGCCCAGACCACGCAGCUCUAGGCCUGUCUCCCCACAGGGAGCACUGGCUGGUGACAUGGAUCUCAGUAGAGAUCCGGGCCGCACACACUGCUUCUCACAGGGAAGGGGAGGACCGUGGUGCAAAAUCCGGAAAGGCCGUGUAGUGCCUUGUGGAUGCUAAGAAGUCUCCUCCUGUCCUGCCUUCUCGGCACAGCCCCGGCGAGCUGGCUCGUUGGUCUGUUGACUCACUGCUCUGGGAGACGAGGCUGGAGUAAGCACGUCACAACCUCAUAGGGUCCGUUGGACACAUGCUGCAGCCCGUUUCCUACAACCAAGAAGAAGCUCUCAUAUGAAGCCAUCAGAGCAGACAAAUCCAAACUAAGGAGACGUGCCUAGUAGCAUCGGUACACGGGGAGAGCUCGGGGAGAUGUAAGACAUCGCUGCCCUGGGAGUGCAGUCGGAGGUGGCCAGUGCCCAGAGAGACGUUACCUAAUGGGAUAACAGAACACUUACAACAUCUUUAAACAUCUGCACGCCAAGAGGUCACAGUAAGGAUGUGUCAAAGACUGAAAGUGGUAGGAUGGCUCCCUGAGAAAGUGCUCUUCAGAUGGUGGCCUCAUAGCCUUCUCUCUCCCUUGCCUGCACCCAUCACAAGCCUGUGACAAGCACCAUCUCUCCCAGCAUCUAAAGCUUCCUGCCACCAUUCUCUGGCGCUCUGGAAGGAUUUCGAGGGGGUUGUUACGUGUGUACUUCUGAACGUUGCAAUUCUGUAUUGUUAAAGUCUAGCACUUAAUAAAAUAACCAUGACUGCUUAUUUGCAAAGAG